AUUGAACGCUGGCGGCAUGCCUUACACAUGCAAGUCGAACGGCAGCACGGGUGCUUGCACCUGGUGGCGAGUGGCGAACGGGUGAGUAAUACAUCGGAACAUGUCCUGUAGUGGGGGAUAACCCGGCGAAAGCCGGAUUAAUACCGCAUACGAUCUACGGAUGAAAGCGGGGGACCUUCGGGCCUCGCGCUAUAGGGUUGGCCGAUGGCUGAUUAGCUAGUUGGUGGGGUAAAGGCCUACCAAGGCGACGAUCAGUAGCUGGUCUGAGAGGACGACCAGCCACACUGGGACUGAGACACGGCCCAGACUCCUACGGGAGGCAGCAGUGGGGAAUUUUGGACAAAGGGCGAAAGCCUGAUCCAGCAAUGCCGCGUGUGUGAAGAAGGCCUUCGGGUUGUAAAGCACUUUUGUCCGGAAAGAAAUCCUUGGCUCUAAUACAGUCGGGGGAUGACGGUACCGGAAGAAUAAGCACCGGCUAACUACGUG
rnacentral:rRNA from 1 species